CGGGGUGAGUAAUGUCUGGGAAACUGCCUGAUGGAGGGGGAUAACUGCUGGAAACGGUAGCUAAUACCGCAUAACGUCGCAAGACCAAAGAGGGGGACCUUCGGGCCUCUUGCCAUCGGAUGUGCCCAGAUGGGAUUAGCUAGUAGGUGGGGUAACGGCUCACCUAGGCGACGAUCCCUAGCUGGUCUGAGAGGAUGGCCAGCCACACUGGAAAUGAGACACGGUCCAG
rnacentral:rRNA from 1 species